GGAUGUAAUCUUGAAAUAAAUAUUUUUUGAAAAAAUAUAUUUUGAACCAUAGGCAGUAAAAUAGGAAGGUUAUCAGAUGAUUUCUGAAAAUCAACACAGGUGUUCAUUCAGAAAUCAACACCUGUGUUGAUUUAUCUAUUAAAAGACUGAGGUAUGCCUUUAGCCACUUUAGUGUCGCCAUUAACAACAAAAUCGUUUGAAUUACAAACAGCCUUAACAGAGGUAAAGCUGUAGUCUCGAGAAUAUUAUCAUCAUUGUUAGGUAAUUUAUCACCUACUACUCGCCAAGAUAAUAUUACAUUAGAUUGUGGAAUAGAUUCACGAGCAAUAGUCAACUCUUCAGACAAUAAAUUAGCAUCUUUACAGGAAGAAAUUUCAUUUAAAACAAUAGACUUCUCAGAUAUCGGUCUCGGCAAAAUAAGCAUAUCCUGAUUCUGUAUCUCUUCACAAUUAGAUGACACCAACUGGGAUAAUAACUACCAGUAUCAGCACUUGUAUAAUUUAUAUUAACUGCCAACAAUUCCAUUAACGUAUCAGAUUCACAAAUAUCAUGAUUUUCGUGAUUUUUAUCUAUGUGUCUAUCAGUAUUCAUAUCAUGAGGUAAUAGCUUAGUUUUGUCAGCAUUCGAACGUUCAGAAUCCAAUCUCACACGUCCACCCUUACAACAAGAACAAACUAGCAAACUUCUAUUUCGUUUAGACAAUUUAUGAAAAUUAAUACACGAAAUACCAUAACAAUCCAAAUGUUCAAAUCUAUAGCAAGCAGAACAUUUAAUAUAAUCAUCAUCUGGUGGUAUACCCACUUGACAAGAAACACAGUCCAAAAAGUCAUCGGAAACAGUAACACGUGCAGCUUCCUGCAGAAACUCACCAGUAGCAGACAAUGCCAUCUCGCUUUUUUGCACAAUAAUGAAAGCGAAAGUUGGGAUAGUUAUUAAUAGCACAGCGCAAGUUGAAUAUAGGACGCUUUAACUUAAAGUUAUUAUUUUAUUAACAUUAAAUUGUAAUAAUUUUUCGACUGCAACAUGUGAUAAAACAACUUCGCGGGCCGUGCGAAUUCGCUUUGAGAGCCGGAUGCGGCCCAUGAGCCGCCAGUUUGACACCACUGAUAUAUGCUAUACUGUACUAUAUUAUGGCAGUUUAACAAAAUAAAUUUAAUACAACUUAAUCCUCAUUAAUAAAAUUAAUUCAACACAUAUAUGAGAAUCCAAAUGAAGGUAUAGAUAUUAUACAUGUAAUAAUACAUGUAAUUAUACAGCAUGUCUCAAAAGGUCGUUCCAAACGUAUCAUCUGGUCUCUCAUACCGAGCGAAAUAAGAUUGCAUAGAGUGUUAAAAUGUGUGGUAACAUCUUAUCAAUCCAGCAAAUAAAAAUUAGUACACAUGAAUUCUGUGGGGAUACAAAAUUAUAUGUUAUGUGGGGUUUCUGGG
rnacentral:lncRNA from 1 species